rnacentral:misc_RNA from 1 species
GAUGAAGAACGUAGCGAAAUGCGAUAAGUAAUGUGAAUUGCAGAAUUCAGUGAAUCAUCGAAUCUUUGAACGCACAUUGCGCCCGCCAGUAUUCUGGCGGGCAUGCCUGUUCGAGCGUCAUUUCAACCAUCAAGCCCCCGGCUUGUGUUGGGGACCCUGCGGCUGCCCGCAGGCCCUGAAAACCAGUGGCGGGCUCGCUGUCACUCCGAGCGUAGUAGCAUAUAUCUCGCUCAGGGCGUGCUGCGGGUUCCGGCCGUUAAAAGCCUUUUUUUUUUACCCAAGGUUGACCUCGGAUCAGGUAGGAAGACCCGCUGAACUUAAGCAUAUCAAUAAGCGGAGGA